rnacentral:pre_miRNA from 1 species
UCUUACGGAUAAACAAAGAAAGUGGUUUCUUGAAAUGGAAUCUACUCCUGGUGAGGAUGCUGUGAA